ensembl:lncRNA
GUUAUUCUUGUCUAGGAAAGCCCAUGGACAGAGAAGGCUGGUGGGCCGCAGUCCAUGGGGUCAGCAAAGAGUGGAACACGACUGAGCGACUGAGCACGCACGCAGGCUGCGUUCAACUCGCAGUCUAGAGAGAGAGACGGAGAUUCUUAUUUUUCCGGCACUGAUUGAGCAAUAUCCUGAGUAAGACAAGGCGGGGCCACCCCCGCUUGCUUUCUCUGAAAGCGUGAGUACAGUGCGCGGGAGCGGAGGUAUACAGAAGAGCUCCGAGGUCUGGUCAUCAGAGGCCGGCUUUCCAAGUUCCACUGACGACCGUGAAGAUUCCUCAUGACCGUGCCUACCAUCAACCUGCAGGGACCUCGACAGCGAACGCUGCCCGACCGCAAGCGGCAGCGGGGAUGGAGGGCACUGACCUCCUCGAUCGCCGGUGGCCCCAAACUUCGGUUCGGGUACCUCGUCUUCGUCAUGGGUGUCGUGUUGUGGGAAUCGCUGUCUCUGCCUCAGGUUCCUGUGGCCAAACUGCCCUGAGGAAAGGAAGGACCUCGCCUUGUCCCUGGUGCCCCACAGCCCCUGCACAGGGCUACUCAGCAGGCUGCAGACAGGACUCCCCCUGAAUGCGUGGGUGGUGUGGGUUCUAAGAUGCCUGCACUAAUGUUAGUAUUUUGUCCUGCUCUGAGGGGAAUGGGGGUAUUGAUCU